rnacentral:rRNA from 1 species
GACGAACGCUGGCGGCGUGCUUAACACAUGCAAGUCGAACGGAAAGGCCCUGCUUUUGUGGGGUGCUCGAGUGGCGAACGGGUGAGUAACACGUGAGUAACCUGCCCUUGACUUUGGGAUAACUUCAGGAAACUGGGGCUAAUACCGGAUAGGAGCUCCUGCUGCAUGGUGGGGGUUGGAAAGUUUCGGCGGUUGGGGAUGGACUCGCGGCUUAUCAGCUUGUUGGUGGGGGAGUGGCUUACCAAGGCUUUGACGGGUAGCCGGCCUGAGAGGGUGACCGGCCACAUUGGGACUGAGAUACGGCCCAGACUCCUACGGGAGGCAGCAGUGGGGAAUAUUGCACAAUGGGCGGAAGCCUGAUGCAGCAACGCCGCGUGCGGGAUGACGGCCUUCGGGUUGUAAACCGCUUUCGCCUGUGACGAAGCGUGAGUGACGGUAAUGAGUAAAGAAGCACCGGCUAACUACGUG